rnacentral:rRNA from 1 species
UACGUAGGCAGCGAGCGUUGUUCGGAGUUACUGGGCGUAAAGGGUGCGUAGGCGGUUGUUUAAGUUUGGUGUGAAAUCUCCCGGCUCAACUGGGAGGGUGCGCCGAAUACUGAAUGACUAGAGUGCGGGAGAGGAGAGUGGAAUUCCUGGUGUAGCGGUGAAAUGCGUAGAUAUCAGGAGGAACACCGGUGGCGAAGGCGGGUCUCUGGGCCAUUACUGACGCUGAGGCGCGACAGCGUGGGGAGCAAACAGG